rnacentral:lncRNA from 10 species
CUCUCUAAUGCUAAACUUCCAAAGUGUAUGAUUUACUCGCAGUGCGGGACAGAGGACCCUUGCAAGGUGUGGAAGGAAGGAAAGAAGGAAGGAAGAGGAUCUGGUCUUUUCUUUAGAGCGCGGUGCAGCCCCUGGAGUUGAGCACGCUUUGUUUUCCCCUGCUCUGGUGCUCGCUUUAAUCUGAUGACUGGGUGUUCUGUCAUAGGGGUUAGGAGGGGGAAGAGAUCAUUUCCAACUACCUUCCUUUCAUUUUUCUCACUCUACCAAUGGAAAGUGUCCUCUUUCUCUUACGCACUUAUUCUUACUUAACCUUAGCAGUAAUUCUUCGGAUACCAGUUACAUGGGCUUAGGCUUGU